UGGGGAAUUUUGGACAAUGGGCGCAAGCCUGAUCCAGCAAUGCCGCGUGCAGGAUGAAGGCCUUCGGGUUGUAAACUGCUUUUGUACGGAACGAAAAAGCUCUCUCUAAUACAGGGGGUGAAUGACGGUACCGUAAGAAUAAGCACCGGCUAACUACGUGCCAGCAGCCGCGGUAAUACGUAGGGUGCAAGCGUUAAUCGGAAUUACUGGGCGUAAAGCGUGCGCAGGCGGUUUUGUAAGACAGAGGUGAAAUCCCCGGGCUUAACCUGGGAACUGCGUUUGUGGCUGCAAGGCUGGAGUACGGCAGAGGGGGGUGGAAUUCCACGUGUAGCAGUGAAAUGCGUAGAGAUGUGGAGGAACACCGAUGGCGAAGGCAGCCCCCUGGGCCUGUACUGACGCUCAUGCACGAAAGCGUGGGGAGCAAACA
rnacentral:rRNA from 1 species